rnacentral:rRNA from 1 species
CGCGGUGCAUUAGCUAGUUGGUGAGGUAACGGCUCACCAAGGCCACGAUGCAUAGCCGACCUGAGAGGGUGAUCGGCCACAUUGGGACUGAGACACGGCCCAAACUCCUACGGGAGGCAGCAGUAGGGAAUCUUCGGCAAUGGACGAAAGUCUGACCGAGCAACGCCGCGUGAGUGAAGAAGGUUUUCGGAUCGUAAAACUCUGUUGUUAGAGAAGAACAAGGAUGAGAGUAACUGUUCAUCCCUUGACGGUAUCUAACCAGAAAGCCACGGCUAACUACGUGCCAGCAGCCGCGGUAAUACGUAGGUGGCAAGCGUUGUCCGGAUUUAUUGGGCGUAAAGCGAGCGCAGGCGGUUUCUUAAGUCUGAUGUGAAAGCCCCCGGCUCAACCGGGGAGGGUCAUUGGAAACUGGGAGACUUGAGUGCAGAAGAGGAGAGUGGAAUUCCAUGUGUAGCGGUGAAAUGCGUAGAUAUAUGGAGGAACACCAGUGGCGAAGGCGGCUCUCUGGUCUGUAACUGACGCUGAGGCUCGAAAGCGUGGGGAGCAAACAGGAUUAGAUACCCUGGUAGUCCACGCCGUAAACGAUGAGUGCUAAGUGUUGGAGGGUUUCCGCCCUUCAGUGCUGCAGCUAACGCAU